rnacentral:rRNA from 1 species
AUUGAACGCUGGCGGCAGGCUUAACACAUGCAAGUCGAGCGGGGUGAUGGUGCUUGCACUAUCACUUAGCGGCGGACGGGUGAGUAAUGCUUAGGAAUCUGCCUAUUAGUGGGGGACAACAUCUCGAAAGGGAUGCUAAUACCGCAUACGUCCUACGGGAGAAAGCAGGGGAUCACUUGUGACCUUGCGCUAAUAGAUGAGCCUAAGUCGGAUUAGCUAGUUGGCGGGGUAAAGGCCUACCAAGGCGACGAUCUGUAGCGGGUCUGAGAGGAUGAUCCGCCACACUGGGACUGAGACACGGCCCAGACUCCUACGGGAGGCAGCAGUGGGGAAUAUUGGACAAUGGGGGGAACCCUGAUCCAGCCAUGCCGCGUGUGUGAAGAAGGCCUUAUGGUUGUAAAGCACUUUAAGCGAGGAGGAGGCUCUUUUGGUUAAUACCCAAGAUGAGUGGACGUUACUCGCAGAACAAGCACCGGCUAACUCUGUGCCAGCCGCCGCCGUAA